rnacentral:misc_RNA from 1 species
GAUGAAGAACGUAGCGAAAUGCGAUAAGUAAUGUGAAUUGCAGAAUUCAGUGAAUCAUCGAAUCUUUGAACGCACAUUGCGCCCGCCAGUAUUCUGGCGGGCAUGCCUGUCCGAGCGUCAUUUCAACCCUCGAACCCCUCCGGGGGGUCGGCGUUGGGGAUCGGCCCUGCCUCUUGGCGGUGGCCGUCUCCGAAAUACAGUGGCGGUCUCGCCGCAGCCUCUCCUGCGCAGUAGUUUGCACACUCGCAUCGGGAGCGCGGCGCGUCCACAGCCGUUAAACACCCAACUUCUGAAAUGUUGACCUCGGAUCAGGUAGGAAUACCCGCUGAACUUAAGCAUAUCAAUAAGCGGAGGA